rnacentral:rRNA from 1 species
UUUGACUAUACAAGGUAUUGUAAUAAGACUUUAAUUGAGUGCUAAAAGAAUGGACUUUCAAAAAAAUUCUUUCUUAAUUUUAAAAGUUAAAGUUAUUUUUAUAUGUGAAGAAACAAUAAUAAAAAUUUAGGACAAGAAGACCCUAUGAAUUUUUAUAAUUUGUUCAUAAUUAAUUAUGAACAAAUUAUUUAAUUGGGGCGAUUAAUUAAUAUUUUAAACUUUUUUAAAAAAAAUGUGAUCCAUUAAUAAUGAUUUUAUGAAAAAAAUACUCUAGGGAUAACAGCGUAAUAAUUUUAGAUAGAUCUUAUAGAAAAAAUAGUUUGCGACCUCGAUGUUGGAUUAGGAUUCUUAUUUAAUGAAGAAGUUAAAUAAAGAAGUUUGUUCAACUUUUAAAAUCCUACUUGAUCUGAUUCAGACCGGGGGA